rnacentral:rRNA from 1 species
CCCUUAGAUGUCCUGGGCUGCACGCGCGCUACACUGGAAGUUACGGAUUGAGAUACUACCUUGUCCGAAAUGGUCCGGGUAAUCACCUAAAAGCUUGUCAUAAUUGGAAUGGAUUAUUGUAACUAGUAAUCCUGAACGAGGAAUUCCUAGUAAGUCCCAGUCAACAGCUGGUACUGAUUACGUCCCUGCCCUUUGUACACACCGCCCGUCGCUACUACUGAUUGGACGUUUAAGCAAGAUUUUUAAACACUGACAGUGUGUAGUUCACGCUAUACUACAGUGAGAAGAAGAAGAUCGAGCUUACUUGUCUAGAGGAAGUAAAAGUCGUAACG